CUUCCCCUACCCUCCCACCUCUUCCUCCUUCUCCCCUUCCUUCACCCUCCUCUUACCCUAUUCCUCAUUUGCAUGCAUCACCUCCCUGCGCCCCCCCCCCUCCCCCCUCACAGGUGCGUGCGUCUUUCACCGGGAAGGAGCCCCUCAUAUUACCUGCCAUUACUUCACUAUCAUCACCUGUCUCACCUGGUCUCCUGUAGCAUCAAGUACCUGUCUCACCUGGUCUCCUGUAGCAUCAAGUACCUGUCUCACCUGGUCUCCUGUAGCAUCAAGUACCUGUCUCACCUGGUCUCCUGUAGCAUCAAGUACCUGUCUCACCUGGUCUCCUGUAGCAUCAAGUACCUGUCUCACCUGGUCUGAGCUCUAGAAACUCCGUGUGUAGUCAGGACAACUCUCUCUCUCUCUCUAGGUCCUAGGACAACCCGAGAUCCUACCUCUUAUAAACACUAGGAAAAGACAAACAGGACAAAGGAGAGGAAAAAAGAGUAUCACCAAGACAACCACAAACUCAACCAUGACAACCAAGACAUUAACCACGAUGUUGCAGUGAAAAUGAAGGACAACAGAGGACAAUAAACAGAGACGUGAGGAAAAGAAAUAAACGGCACCUGAUUCACCUACUGGGCACCUGAUUCACCUGUUGGGCACCUGAUUCACCUGCUGGGUACCUGAUUCACCUGCUGGGUACCUGAGAUUCCUGAUGGGUUCCAACGUCAGCCGCUGCACCAAGAGGAGAGGAAGUAACUGUGCUCUCCCUACUGAUGCCUCAGGUCGUCGUGUGCUGAGGACGCCUAGUAUGUGGUCCAAUAUGACGCUCACCCUCACCACCUCAGGCCCUAAGCGUACAUCUGAUGUCCGCAGCCGCUGUGCCUCCCUCACCAACUUCUCCACUAGGCUACGGGGCGUCUGAUUGGUCCAUUGAUGUUUGGACGUCACACCGAAACUUUGGCGACGGGGUGUGUGAUUGGUCUGUUAAUGCCAUGAUGUCAAGCCUCACCAGACUACGGGAUGUCCGAUUGGUCCAUUGGUGUUUUAACGUCACUUCUCGCCUGGAACAUAGAAAACGGGAAUCCAAUCAAAGUAAUAGUGACAGCUGGUGCCUGUGUUUAGCUGUUUUAAGGCUAAUGAACUUCUGUAACUGUACAUUAUGAACACAGGAUGUCAUAAUAACCGAUAAAACUCUUAAUAUUUAGGGGCAGAAUGUUUUUUAUCACAUAGAGGUGAUUCCCUCUCAUGGUCGAGGUCACUAGGGGAUCUUUAGCUGCGUGACAUCAUUUUAACGUCAUAGCCGUUUCCCGCCUCUCAUUGGUCGUGGAGUUGUGUAUAUAUUGUGGGUUUAAGUGAAUAUAACUGAUAACUAUGAAAUGAUACACAGACAUUGAUAAACAGACCCAUUGAAGGAAGAGAUGGAGAGGAAAACACAGAGACGGGUGAAGAGAGACUGAGAGAAAACACCUGAGAGACGCUAAUUUGGCCCGAAGGAACACCAACUCACCUGAUCUUGAGUUUCUAAUGACGAAACAAAUCCACUUCAGCAGGUUGGUGGACGGAACGAGAGGAAGACUUAGUGCAGAGAAUGAUAACAGGAGGAAGAGAUGAGUUGCAGACGACACCUCGGCUUGGGGUCUUGAAUGAUAAGAGUCACACGCUGAGGAACUGAAGAAGGGAGGAGGGGAGAUGGCUGAAGAAGGCGAGGAAGAUAAUAAUGAACUGUAACUAUACAACUAACUGGAGGAAGAAGUGGAAGCUACCGGAAGUGACAGUCAUGACGAACUACAGUAAUGGCGAGUGAUAUUACAGUCAUGACGAGUUACAGUCAUGGCGAGUGAUAUUAAACCGAAAAAAAAAUUAAAAGAUGGCGCUGUAUUAAUACCUUGAACCUCGGGGAGUGGGAGUGGAGUGGGGAAUGGGAGUGGGAGUGGGGAGUAACCUGU